UGGCUAACUCCUACGGGAGGCAGCAGUGGGGAAUUUUGGACAAUGGGGGCAACCCUGAUACAGCAAUGCCGCGCGAGUGAAGAAGGCCUUCGGGUUGUAAAGCUCUUUUGUCAGGGAAGAAACGGUAGUAGCUAAUAUCUAUUACUAAUGACGGUACCUGAGUAAUAAUCACCGGCUAACUACGUGCCAGCAGCCGCGGUAAUACGUAGGGUGCAAGCGUUAAUCGGAAUUACUGGGCGUAAAGCGGGCGCAGGCGGUUGUGUAAGUCAGAUGUGAAAUCCCCGGGCUCAACCUGGGAAUUGCAUUUGAGACUGCACGGCUAGAGUGUGUCAGAGGGGGGUAGAAUUCCUCGUGUAGCAGUGAGAUGCGUAGAUAUAUGGAGGAAUACCGAUGGCGAAGGCAGCCCCCUGGGAUAACACUGACGCUCGUGCACGAAAGGGUGGGGAGCAAACAGGAUUAGAUACCCUAGUAGUCCAGCUGG
rnacentral:rRNA from 1 species